rnacentral:rRNA from 1 species
AGUGAACGCUGGCGGUAGGCCUAACACAUGCAAGUCGAACGGCAGCACAGUAAGAGCUUGCUCUUACGGGUGGCGAGUGGCGGACGGGUGAGGAAUACAUCGGAAUCUACUUUUUCGUGGGGGAUAACGUAGGGAAACUUACGCUAAUACCGCAUACGACCUACGGGUGAAAGCAGGGGAUCUUCGGACCUUGCGCGAUUGAAUGAGCCGCUGUCGUAUUAGCUAGUUGGCGGGGUAAAGGCCCACCAAGGCGACGAUCCGUAGCUGGUCUGAGAGGAGGGUCAGCCACACUGGAACUGAGACACGGUCCAGACUCCUACGGGAGGCAGCAGUGGGGAAUAUUGGACAAUGGGCGCAAGCCUUAUCCAGCCAUACCGCGUGGGUGAAGAAGGCCUUCGGGUUGUAAAGCCCUUUUGUUGGGAAAGAAAAGCAGCAGGUUAAUACCCCGCUGUUCUGACGGUACCCAAAGAAUAAGCACCGGCUAACUUCGUG